rnacentral:rRNA from 1 species
GAUGAACGCUGGCGGCGUGCCUAAUACAUGCAAGUCGAGCGAACGGACGAGAAGCUUGCUUCUCUGAUGUUAGCGGCGGACGGGUGAGUAACACGUGUAUAACCUACCUAUAAGACUGGUAUAACUUCGGGAAACCGGAGCUAAUACCGGAUAAUAUUCUGAACCGCAUGGUUCAAAAGUGAAUGACGGUCUUGCUGGCUCUUAUAGAUGGAUCCGCGCUGCAUUAGCUAGUUGGUAAGGUAACGGCUUACCAAGGCAACGAUGCAUAACCGACCUGAGAGAGUGAUCGGCCACACUGGAACUGAGACACGGUCCAGACUCCUACGGGAGGCAGCAGUAGGGAAUCUUCCGCAAUGGGCGGAAGCCUGACGGAGCAGCGCCGCGUGAGUGAUGAAGGUCUUCGGUUCGUAAAACUCUGUUAUGGGGGAUGAACAUAUGUGUAAGUAACUGUGCACAGCUUGACGGUACCUAGUCAGAAAGCCACGGCUAACUACGUG